AAGGUUGUGAAGGGCAGCCAAGUGGAGUGCGGAGGCGCCAUGGUGGGCAGGAUGUCCCACGUUACUUGGCUUGAGGGCACUUUCGUGGAAACCAUCAAGGGGUGGCAAUCGGGGUGGUUCUACAUUACCGAGCCGCGCGACCCCGAAUGGGCAGCGGCCCCCGAAUUCAGAUCCGGCAUCCCCACACGGCUCACCUCCUGGAAAGAGAGCGGCCGGACAUGGGGUGAUUCGGAGGAGCUGACCAGACUCCAAGCUUGCAUCCAAAAGCUAGUGGACAAGAAGCUCAAGCUUGUCAACAUAGUCCAG
rnacentral:rRNA from 1 species